rnacentral:tRNA from 1 species
UAUGCUGUCUGAUUCAAAUAAGUAAUUAGGCCCGUAAUCCUGUCACCUUAGGUCGAUCGGUACCUCUGAUUAAAUACUUCAAAAGUGAGAAAUUACUUUUACUUCAGUUUUUAAUUUCAGUUCCUAAACUUGUCUAGGUCACACCCAACAAACUUUCUCCUGGGCUAUUAGCUCAGGCGGUUAGAGCGCACCCCUGAUAAGGGUGAGGUCCCUGGUUCAAGUCCAGGAUGGCCCAUUCCGUUGUUGGGGGUAUAGCUCAGUUGGUAGAGCGCCUGCUUUGCAAGCAGGAUGUCAGCGGUUCGAGUCCGCUUACCUCCACUGAUCAACUACCUGAUAACUCAAAUUGGAGAUUGUUAUUUGUUUAAUGUGAUUUAGAUGUUGUUCAUCUGAAUGAACCUAGCUUCCUAUCAUACCUUCAUUGUUUAAGGCUGAUAAGACGCUGGGCUCACUGAUAUUUUUCAAUAUCAGUUUGAUUCAGCAGAACCUUGACAACUGCAUAGGAAAGUCUGGAAAAAAUGAAGCAUCUCAUAGAUGCAUAGAAAACUAUUAUUUAGAAUUAAAUAAAUCGUUUUUUAUGAUUGAUUCUUGAGUUAGAGCUUAAUUUCUAUAAUCCAAUCACUUAUUUAAUUAAAGA